GUUUGUGGCAGCAUCAGAUCCCACAAAUGGAACAAAUCCGCAUAUGAAUGAAAGAUGACGAGCAAUGAAGCGAUCGACUCGAAGAGGUCAGUCUGGAUCUCAUCCACUGAAUCCACUCUCUCACUUUCCUCCGUCUGUUCAUCUGGAAUGAUGAUGGAGUCUUGAGCAAUUUGGGCUUUCAAGUAUUUCUUGCACCUUUCUGAAGGAAGAGGGGCUCCAGAACUGUCAUCACCUUCUGCCUCACUGAGGGCCACAACAGUGAUAGCAUGCAGUUCCACUGGCAUAUCAUCUUGAUGCAGUGCGCAACAUCAACCCUGAUAUAACAAGGGGGCAGUUUGGCAGACUGGGUUCCAAGAAGGACAUGAAAGCAUUCAUUAAGAGCGGCCAAAUUUGGAAGGUGGCUUGGCUCAGGAUCUCCAACAUCCAUCAGAUCUGCUGCCCUCGCUGACCUCCAUACAGCCAGUUCCAUUCUGCCCUCACACAGCUCUUUAGCGAUCUGUUCACACAGGUUUCCAGACAUGAACCGCUUGGAGUGGCCAGUGUGCAGGGAGAGAUCUGUAUUUCUCAUGAAACACUGGAGCACCAUUGGACUAUUAAUUGCUGUCUGUCUGUCACAUGACAUUUCUAACUGGCCAUGACACUCCUUACAGUCGCCUCUGAUGUCCAGAUAUUUAUUGUUGACAGUUGGAUGGACCUUUGCUCUUCGGAA
ensembl:lncRNA